rnacentral:rRNA from 1 species
ACCAGACUCCUACGGGAGGCAGCAGUGGGGGAUAUUGCACAAUGGGGGGAACCCUGAUGCAGCGACGCCGCGUGGGUGAAGAAGCGCCUCGGCGCGUAAAGCCCUAUCGGCAGGGAAGAAGGAGGACGGUACCUGACUAAGAAGCCCCGGCUAACUACGUGCCAGCAGCCGCGGUAAUACGUAGGGGGCAAGCGUUAUCCGGAUUUACUGGGUGUAAAGGGGGCGCAGACGGCAGCGCAAGCCAGGAGUGAAAGCCCGGGGCCCAACCCCGGGACUGCUCUUGGAACUGCGCGGCUGGAGUGCAGGAGGGGCAGGCGGAAUUCCUGGUGUAGCGGUGAAAUGCGUAGAUAUCAGGAGGAACACCGGUGGCGAAGGCGGCCUGCUGGACUGCGACUGACGUUGAGGCCCGAAAGCGUGGGGAGCAAACAGGAUUAGAUACCCUUGUA